GGCUCGGUAGCUUAGUUGGUAAAAACGCUCGUCUAGCAUACAAGAAUCCUGGGUUCAAAUCCUAGCCGAGCAC
rnacentral:tRNA from 1 species